AACGAACGCUGGCGGCAUGCCUAACACAUGCAAGUCGAACGAGAACUUCGGGUCUAGUGGCGCACGGGUGCGUAACGCGUGGGAACCUGCCCUUUGGUUCGGAAUAACUCCCCGAAAGGGGUGCUAAUACCGGAUAAUGUCUUCGGACGAAAGAUUUAUCGCCGUAGGAUCGGCCCGCGUUGGAUUAGCUAGUUGGUAGGGUAAAAGCCUACCAAGGCGACGAUCCAUAGCUGGUCUGAGAGGAUGAUCAGCCACACUGGGACUGAGACACGGCCCAGACUCCUACGGGAGGCAGCAGUGGGGAAUAUUGGACAAUGGGCGAAAGCCUGAUCCAGCCAUGCCGCGUGAGUGAUGAAGGCCUUAGGGUUGUAAAGCUCUUUUAGCCGGGAUGAUAAUGACAGUACCGGGAGAAUAAGCUCCGGCUAACUCCGUG
rnacentral:rRNA from 1 species